CACGUAGGGGCCAAGCGUUGUCCGGAUUUAUUGGGCGUAAAGAGCUCGUAGGCGGUUCGACAAGUCGGGUGUGAAAACUCCGGGCUCAACCCGGAGACGCCACCCGAUACUGUCGUGACUGGAGUCCGGUAGGGGAGUGGGGAAUUCCUGGUGUAGCGGUGAAAUGCGCAGAUAUCAGGAGGAACACCGGUGGCGAGGGCGCCACUCUGGGCCGGUACUGACGCUGAGGAGCGAAAGCGUGGGUAGCAAACAGG
rnacentral:rRNA from 1 species